rnacentral:rRNA from 1 species
GACGAACGCUGGCGGCGUGCUUAACACAUGCAAGUCGAGCGGAAAGGCCACUUCGGUGGUACUCGAGCGGCGAACGGGUGAGUAACACGUGAGUAAUCUGCCCCUCACUUUGGGAUAGCCACCGGAAACGGUGAUUAAUACCGGAUAUGACCAUAUGUCGCAUGGCGUGUGGUGGAAAGUUUUUCGGUGAGGGAUGUGCUCGCGGCCUAUCAGCUUGAUGGUGAGGUAAUGGCUCACCAUGGCUUCGACGGGUAGCCGGCCUGAGAGGGUGACCGGUCACACUGGGACUGAGACACGGCCCAGACUCCUACGGGAGGCAGCAGUGGGGAAUAUUGGACAAUGGGCGGAAGCCUGAUCCAGCAACGCCGCGUGAGGGAUGACGGCCUUCGGGUUGUAAACCCCUUUCAGUACCGACGAAGCGCAAGUGACGGUAGGUACAGAAGAAGCACCGGCCAACUACGUG